ACGGGUGAGUAAUGCAUGGGGAGCUGCCCAGUCGAGGGGGAUACCAGCUGGAAACGGCUGCUAAUACCGCAUACGCCCUGAGGGGGAAAGGUGGGGACCUUCGGGCCUACCGCGAUUGGAUGCACCCAUGUGGGAUUAGCUAGUUGGUGAGGUAACGGCUCACCAAGGCGACGAUCUCUAGCUGGUCUGAGAGGAUGACCAGCCACACUGGAACUGAGACACGGUCCAGACUCCUACGGGAGGCAGCAGUGGGGAAUAUUGCACAAUGGGGGAAACCCUGAUGCAGCCAUGCCGCGUGUGUGAAGAAGGCCUUCGGGUUGUAAAGCACUUUCAGUGGGGAGGAAGGGUUGAUGUCUAAUACGCAUCAACAUUGACGUUACCCACAGAAGAAGCACCGGCUAACUCCGUGCCAGCAGCCGCGGUAAUACGGAGGGUGCAAGCGUUAAUCGGAAUAACUGGGCGUAAAGCGCACGCAGGCGGUUAGAUAAGUCAGAUGUGAAAUCCCCGGGCUCAACCUGGGAACUGCAUUUGAAACUGUCUGACUAGAGUCUUGUAGAGGGGGGUAGAAUUCCAGGUGUA
rnacentral:rRNA from 1 species